rnacentral:rRNA from 1 species
GACGAACGCUGGCUACAGGCUUAACACAUGCAAGUCGAGGGACCGGCGCACGGGUGAGUAACACGUAUCCAACCUUCCCUUUCCUCGGGGAUAGCCUUUCGCAAUACAGAUUAAUACCCGAUAUAACGGAUGGGGAUGCGUUCCAUUAGGUUUUUGGUGAGGUAACGGCCCACCAAGCCUUCGAUGGAUAGGGGUUCUGAGAGGAAGGUCCACCAGAUUGGAACUGAGACACGGUACAAACUGCAACGGGAGGAAGCAGUGAGGAAUAGUGGGCAAUGGGAGGUAGCAUGAACCAGCCAAGUAGAGUGAAGAAUGAAGGCUUAUGGGACGUAAACUUCUUUGAUAUAAGAAGAUGUAUUAUAUGAAUAAGGAGCGGCUAACUCCGUGCCAGCAGCCGCGGUAAUAC